UGUACUUACAAUUUGCAUACAGAGCUUAAUCUAAUUGUGUGAAAAUACAGUAAUUUUAGAUUAGCGUGCGUGUUUUUAUGUGUUCCUAGUUUGUUUCUGGAAGGAGAAAGUACGCGCUCCGUUUUAUCAGCGCUGGGUAAGUUUUCCGCCAACAUGCAUCCAACACUGAAAACCUCCAUUGUACUCGUCGUAAUUCUGGCUGUCAUAUUGGGAGCGACAUCCAUGACCGACUAUGACGGGGAAGACGGGCACGCCGCUUAUGAAAGCGCGAUGACUGAUAACGGCGAUCACCCUCGCAUGAAACGCUGGACCUGCAACAGCAUUACCGGUGACUACUUCUGCACUAGAUGGCCGGGUGCGUGGCGGUGCAAAUGUGGUUCAGCAUGUUACCGUGGAACGUGCACUUGCCGCCGCUGUGUCUAGAUCUUAACAUUCUACUAAUUGCUAUGGAAGUGGCAUUCGCUUCGCUUAACUAUAUACUGCGGCGAAUCCUGUAAUAUUUAAUCCGAUAGUAUCUGCAGACAUGAGUAAUUUGUAAUAAAUUAUUAUUACCACAAGUUGUACUACGUAUUACACGAAAAGCUUCGAACUACUUGUUUAAAUGGAAAGGUCACUGUUUUGCAAUAAAAUGGCUUGCAAUCGCGUGUUGUACUGCAUUACAAGUUAGCACGUAUGCAAAGGUUGCCAGAUUCAUUAAUUUUUAAAGGCAUGUUAGAUUUUAGUUGUGGGUG